rnacentral:tRNA from 1 species
GACUUAAAUCCAAGGAGAAUAAAGAGAGAGUCCA